rnacentral:rRNA from 1 species
GUUUGAUCCUGGCUCAGGACGAACGCUGGUGGCGGGCCUAACACAUGCAAGUCGAACGAGGCUUUCCGGUGCUUGCACUGGAAAAUCGAGUGGCGAACGGGUGAGUAAUACAUGAGAAACCUGCCUUGGAGACGGGGACAACCUCGGGAAACUGAGGCUAAUACCCGAUAUCCCUGCCGAGUCGCAUGACUUGGCAAGAAAAUACUCAGGUGCUCCAAGAGGGUCUCAUGCCCUAUCAGCUUGUUGGUGAGGUAAAAGCUCACCAAGGCUUAGACGGGUAGCUGGUCUGAGAGGACGAUCAGCCACACUGGGACUGAGACACGGCCCAGACUCCUACGGGAGGCAGCAGUGGGGAAUCUUGCGCAAUGGGCGAAAGCCUGACGCAGCCACGCCACGUGUGGGACGACGGCCCUCGGGUUGUAAACCACUUUCAGCAGGGACGAAAAUGACGGUACCUGCAGAAGAAGCCCCGGCCAACUACGUGCCAGCAGCCGCGGUAACACGUAGGGGGCGAGCGUUGUCCGGAAUUACUGGGCGUAAAGGGCUCGUAGGCGGUUUGGUAAGUCAGAUGUGAAAACUCCAGGCUCAACUUGGAGACGCCAUCUGAUACUGCCAUGACUAGAGUUUGGUAGAGGAGUGCAGAAUUCCCGGUGUAGCGGUGAAAUGCGCAGAUAUCGGGAGGAAUACCAGUCAGCGAAGGCGGCACUCUGGGCCACAACUGACGCUGAGGAGCGAAAGCGUGGGGAGCGAACAGGAUUAGAUACCCCUGUAGU